rnacentral:rRNA from 1 species
CUACGGGUUGCAGCAGUGGGGAAUAUUGGGCAAUGGGCGCAAGCCUGACCCAGCAACGCCGCGUGAGGGAAGAAUGUCUUCGGAUUGUAAACCUCUGUCCUUGGGGACGAAAAAAAUGACGGUACCCAAGGAGGAAGCUCCGGCUAACUACGUGCCAGCAGCCGCGGUAAUACGUAGGGAGCAAGCGUUGUCCGGAAUUAUUGGGCGUAAAGGGUGCGUAGGCGGCGCUGUAAGUCAGAUGUGAAAUCCCCAGGCUUAACUUGGGAGUUGCAUUUGAAACUGGAGUGCUUGAGUGAAGAAGAGGAAAGUGGAAUUCCUAGUGUAGCGGUGGAAUGCGUAGAUAUUAGGAGGAACACCAGUGGCGAAGGCGACUUGCUGGUCUUUUACUGACGCUGAGGCACGAAAGCGUGGGGAGCAAACAGGAUUAGAUACCCCAGUAGUC